CUGGCUGGCUGGACUCAGAUUUGGUA
rnacentral:piRNA from 1 species